rnacentral:sRNA from 1 species
AGAUCAGAAAAUCAUAAGACAGCAUUAAAAGUACUAUACAGGAGGAGAUGGAACAAGAUGGCCAAAUAGAAGCCUCCAGCAAUCAUCUCCCCCAAAGGAAUUGAACAACUAUCAAAACAAAAUUGAACAACUAUCUAAACAAAAAAAGUACCUUCAUAAAAAGCAAAAAUCAGGACAAUAUCAGAAUGGCACAUACAAGUGUCCCCAAGUCAUAUUUGGAAUAAGAUCACUUGGGAACACAAGUCAAAGAAGGACACAGUGUUCUGCCUCUCCUGAGUAAGCAGCAACAAGGCACCAUCUUGGAAUCAGAGGGCAGCCCUCACCAGACAACUAAAUCUGCAGACACCUUGGACUUCCCAGCCUCCAGAACUGUCUUUCUGGCAACUGUCUAAACAUAAACCAGAGAAGGGCAAGGCAGACUCAGGAAGGACAAAUAGAAGGCUAUUUUCAUAAAUCGGACAUAUGAAGGAGGGUCUUUUCAUAUUAAAUUGUUUUCCUGGCAGCACCUGAACCAAAGGAUCAGACUUAAAAUAAGUCUUUUUCCAAUGUUAUGUUGAAAUUGGAUACGACAUUUCUCACAAAACUUCUAAGUCAAACAGUGAUGAGAAACUACUGCCUAAAAGUUGAUAUUAUGGAUUCCCAUAAGGAUUCAUGUCUUCUAUUCACUUUAAUGAACAGUUGUAGGGCAACAAUUCUAGAAGAGUUCCAAUUCUCAUCAGGAGAAUGGACAAGGUGGAGAAGCAGAGAAAAUGCAAUGAGUAGAAUGUCUAAGUCAUCACUUUGGAAUUGACUGAACAUAAAUAAAAAUGAGAAAGAUACGUAAAAAAGAAGGGAAUGGAUGCCACAGCCCCCAUUUUGCCAACGAGGCAGCUGAGGUUCCCAGAGGCUCAAUACCAGCACCAUGGGCGGCAGCACGCAAGGCAAACACAGCCGGAGGAUUUUAAUGCCUUUUGUAAAGACCUGCCUAAUGGUUCUGCCUUCAGUGCAGACAAUAU